GUGGGGAAUAUUGGACAAUGGGCGAAAGCCUGAUCCAGCCAUGCCGCGUGUGUGAAGAAGGUCUUCGGAUUGUAAAGCACUUUAAGUUGGGAGGAAGGGCAGUAAGUUAAUACCUUGCUGUUUUGACGUUACCGACAGAAUAAGCACCGGCUAACUUCGUGCCAGCAGCCGCGGUAAUACAAAGGGUGCAAGCGUUAAUCGGAAUUACUGGGCGUAAAGCGCGCGUAGGUGGUUUUGUAAGUUGGAGGUGAAAUCCCCGGGCUCAACCUGGGAACUGCCUCCAAAACUGCAUGACUAGAUUACGGUAGAGGGUAGUGGAAUUUCCUGUGUAGCGGUGAAAUGCGUAGAUAUAGGAAGGAACACCAGUGGCGAAGGCGACUACCUGGACUGAUACUGACACUGAGGUGCGAAAGCGUGGGGAGCAAACAGGAUUAGAAACCCUUGUAGUCU
rnacentral:rRNA from 1 species